CCCUGGUUAGCUCAGUUGGUAGAGCGCUCCACCUGUAAUGGAGAGGUCCCGGUCUCAAUACCCGGACCAGGCG
rnacentral:tRNA from 2 species